rnacentral:rRNA from 1 species
CACGGGGGGAGCAAGCGUUGUUCGGAAUCACUGGGCGUAAAGGGCGUGUAGGCGGUCAGGUUAGUGAGAUGUGAAACGCCCCGGCUCACCCGGGGACCGGCAUCUCAAACUGCCUGGCUUGAGUAUGGGAGAGGAUGAGGGAAUUCCUGGUGUAGCGGUGAAAUGCGUAGAUAUCAGGAGGAACACCGGUGGCGAAAGCGCUCAUCUGGCCCAAUACUGACGCUGAGGCGCGAAAGCUAGGGGAGCAAACGGG